rnacentral:lncRNA from 1 species
UGGAGAGUUCGUUACCUCGCUGCUGAGCAAAUGGAACGUUGGCUACACCACUAGAGAAGUUUACCAAAGUAUGACAACUUCUGCCUCGGAAAGAGUCCACACGGUUUAAUUUACCUCAGCACCGUGAUGUCUAAAGACAAGAUGGAUAAAAUAUUCAUAUUACUUCAGAAGUUCAGACUGGAUAAAUACUACAAAAAAUUAAUUGAUCUUGGGAUUGAAGAAGAACUGGAUUUUUUUGACAGCGUCAAUGAUGUGACCUUAAAAACCAUGGAUUUUUCACAAGCAGAGAGGAACCGGUAUGACAAUAUGGUUGCUUAUCUGAAAAGAAUCGGCAAUGCACCAGUUCCAGAGAUGCAAGGAAUGCCUGUAAUGAAGUCAAUUAAUUCAUUUCAUAUAUCCUACCGAUUUCCAAAAUGUCCUGGGAUACAAGAGAUCACAGGUAAAUCUUCAUAGUACACA